ensembl:snoRNA SNORA71 Small nucleolar RNA SNORA71
CCCUGCAUUCAGAAGUGGUCACAGGCUGCCCAUGUCCUGUUCAUUGGUAGUGCAGGGAGGGGAAAUGUGGAAAGGGUCGUCCCGUGUCUGGAGGGUCCACGUCCUCGACCUUGCGGUUCUGGGAGCUUUCCCACC